CCUACGGGUGGCUGCAGUGGGGAAUAUUGGACAAUGGGGGGAACCCUGAUCCAGCCAUGCCGCGUGUGUGAAGAAGGCCCUCGGGUUGUAAAGCACUUUCAGUGAGGAAGAACGCCUGGUGGUUAAUACCCAUCAGGAAAGACAUCACUCACAGAAGAAGCACCGGCUAACUCCGUGCCAGCAGCCGCGGUAAUACGGAGGGUGCGAGCGUUAAUCGGAAUUACUGGGCGUAAAGCGCGCGUAGGUGGCUUGAUAAGCCGGUUGUGAAAGCCCCGGGCUCAACCUGGGAACGGCAUCCGGAACUGUCAAGCUAGAGUGCAGGAGAGGAAGGUAGAAUUCCCGGUGUAUCGGUGAAAUGCGUAGAGAUCGGGAGGAAUACCAGUGGCGAAGGCGGCCUUCUGGACUGACACUGACACUGAGGUGCGAAAGCGUGGGUAGCAAACAGGAUUAGAUACCCGUGUAGUC
rnacentral:rRNA from 1 species